AAGAGUUGUAGUAAUAUACCUUAAUUAUGGUUUUUUAUUUGAUUAGAACGGUGUUUAUUAAAUAUGAUAUUAUUAAUGUAAAUUAUUAGUACUGUACUACUUAAAGUUGUGACACCGCCUACGAAAAAGUGUGUGUAUGCUACUGCUUGCUUGUGAUCCGGUCCUUCCCCGAACCCACUUAGAGCUUAGUGCACCAGGCUACUCUUUUUUUAGUUCAUGCUAGACAUAUUGAGAUCAGAC
rnacentral:lncRNA from 1 species